GAUGAUGAUGAUAGUGAUGAUGGUGAUAGUGGUGAUGAUGGUGGUGAUGUUGAAGUAGUGACUAUAUGAUGAGGAUGUUGAUGAUGAAAUUAAGGAUGAGGAUGAAUAUAAUAAUGAUAAUAAGGAUAAUGGUGAUAAUAAUAACUGGAAAGUAAACGAGAGACAAAACUUCGAAACAGUUCAGAUGAAUAAGUUAUUGCCAACCAAUUUAUAUGGACUGAUAUUAUUUAUAUGAUAUGUCAGAAUGAUAAAAAAUAUAAGGAAAAAUAUAUCAGUAAUGCAAAUUAGAUACAAUCAAAACAAAAAUAUGGAAUAUUACUACAAAGUUUAAACGCAACUAUAAAGAAGAUAAAUAAAUGCGAUACAAUUACUAAUAUUAUUCAUCGUUAAAUUCAAUUGAUUCAUUAUCCGGCCAAAAAUAUAAUUUAUCUAUCAAGAUAAAAAAAGAUUACAUAAUAUAUAAUGUAUUAAUGGUAAUUAUCAAUGGUUUUGUUAAAAUUCGAAAAAUAAAAAGAUGUCAAACUUUAUUUGCAGUGCCAACUUACUUACUUUAUUUGCAGAUCGUAUUUAUGAUAUAUAAAAUACACAAAUCUAUACAAAAAGCUAACAAACUGAAUCAAAGGUAUUGAAAUUAUCAUAUUUGAAAAUAAUGUUUGUAUGAAAUAUUUUUAAUAAAAUAUAUUAUUAUUUAAA